rnacentral:rRNA from 1 species
ACGGUAGGUCGACGACGACGGCCGCGGGAACACCGGCGGCCCGAGUGGUGAUCGUGAGUUAUUGGGUCUAAAGGGUCCGUAGCCGGUUGGUCAGUCCUCCGGGAAAUCUGAUAGCUCAACGUAUUAGGGCUUCGGGGGAUACUGCCAGACUUGGAACCGGGAGAGGUAAGAGGUACUACAGGGGUAGGAGUGAAAUCUUGUAAUCCCUGUGGGACCACCUGUGGCGAAGGCGUCUUACCAGAACGGGUUCGACGGUGAGGGACGAAAGCUGGGGGGCACGAACCGGAUUAGAUACCCGGGUAGUCCCAGCCGUAAACGAUGCUCGCUAGGUGUCAGGCAUGGCGCGACCGUGUCUGGUGCCGCAGGGAAGCCGUGAAGCGAGCCACCUGGGAAGUACGGCCGCAAGGCUGAAACUUAAAGGAAUUGGCGGGGGAGCACAACAACGGGUGGAGCCCUGCGGUUUAAUUGGACUCAACGCCGGACAACUCACCGGGGGCGACAGCAAUAUGUAGGCCAAGCUGAAGACUUUGCCUGAAUCGCUGAGAGGUGGUGCAUGG